CAUAGCUGGCUACUUUAGUUUUACUUAUUUUCUUAACAGAAAGGGAAACACAAUGCUUACAUUCCAGGCAUUACUAUGGUGACAGCAAGAAACUGCAGCUGUAGACCUGAAGCAAAAAACCUGAGGUUCUGAAUGCUCAGUUGAGAAGACAUUCCCACUCUGUAAAAAACCAAUGAGCUCUGUGUUAACCUGGAACAACUGAAAUCACAGACAGGAAUGCUCAGAAACAUAACAUGGGAAAGUACAGUAGAAGAACUUGCUGUCAGGAUGGUUUAAGGUCUGAGCGUUUAAUGAACGUGUAUGAUGACAGCCUGGCUUCCUGCUCCUCUUGCAAUUUCUUAAAUUACAAUCCAUUUGUAACCUCAAGAGUUACUGAGAAACAGGUUUCGCUCACAAAUACAACAUCAGAGUGGAACGGCGGCUGACCCUGUGCACUUGCUUCAAAUGAGUGUAAAUAGAAGAUGAUAUUACUUGUCCGAAUAAAGUGAACUAUCCCAUGGAGGGGAAUAAUAGCUGUCGCCUAGCACCGAGUCUCUUUUCCUCUUCUGAAAAAGACGAGGGAGAACUUAAAAGUCAAGGAGACCCCAAGAUGAGGGCGAAUGUUGAUUACUUUAAAGAUUAAACUGUUACCCUGGUGAA